rnacentral:lncRNA from 1 species
AUCAAGCUUCAACACGUGGGCCCUUUGGGGGAACAUUCAAGAUACAAGUGAUAGCAUCUCUCAACUGAAGUAAAUAGAGAAAGAAAUGUAAACAUUUAGUAAAGAAACUGUUUGAUUCACUUUAGUAUAGAGAAUACUUCAUAGCAAAGGCUCUUUAUCCUCCCAGCAUAUUUACUAAGCACCUACUAUGUGCCAGGCAGCAGGCCAAGUAAUUAAAUGGUCAAAAUUUAUAUCCUUAUAAAGUUUAUGGUUAAUCACUUUUGAGCAUUUGAAAAUAUUUUCUUUUUCUAAGUAAAAAAAAAAAAGAUUUCUGGUGGGUUAUCUCCUCUCUCCCAUGCCCUGGGAAGCCAACCUCAGGGUCUUCUACAUGCAAGGCAAGUGUCCUACUACUGAGUUAUUCCAUCAACCCUAAACAUCAAUGUAGAAAACAAGUGGAAGUAAUGGAUAAAUUCCUUGGGUCAUUUAAACAUCACUGACUGAGGAAAAGCUCACUGUACUUGUUCAAAAAGGACUAUUUAGCAGCAGCCAUACUAGGUACGUCAUCUGGGGUGGAGGCUCUUGAGUAAAAUCCAAUUCUUGCCUGUUCCUUUCUUGAAGAAGUGAGAGACAGAAAGAGAUAGGAAUGGAUUAAUGAGCUCCAUGGUUGGCUCUGUGAGAGUUUCAGAGCUGGGGCCCCAGGCAUCUCAGUGCCAUUUCAAAUCAGCUGGGCCAGGCUUACAGAAAAGCAGGCAUGGUAUCCUAAGCCCUGCUUAGGGAGAUGCCUGGGAAUGAUAGGCUGACAUUUUAGCUUCACUUAAAAAAUGAUUAAUUCUGACCGUGCAAUAUGUGCCCGUCUUCAGCUGUUCCCUCGGUAUCUCAGACUCCUGCCUUUCUAGGAGGCAGCCAUAGUAGUUUUCCUAGGUCAUAGAUAAUGUCAGAGAUAUUGUGUUCCAACAGUUAAAGGCAAUAGCACUAACACAUAUAAGCCAGACAGUGAACAGGUGAUUCAAGGACAAAAAGUAUUCAUAUUUUAUAAACUUGUGUGCUAAGAGAUGGUGUUUAAAGGACCCUCCCAGGAGUCAUGAGGGACUGUCUGAAGGUGAUGUUGAGCCAGGGUACAGGCUGAUGCUGCCUUCACACAAGUUUGACAAGUUGGCUGCUCCUAUGGGAAGCAGACUACAGUCUCUGAUUUAUUUCAAUUGAUUUUUUUCUGGCGUCAAAGUAUUUUGCCAAGAAAAGGUAAUUUACUUUAUAUUAGGUCAUCCUCUUGCAUUUCUGUCAUUUCUUGCUUUUUUAGAAUGCCCCUCUCGUUCAUGUUCAGGGGCUCUCUCUUGGACACUUCAUUUGCUUUAGAGCAUCUCAUUCAGUUUUGCCUUGAGCUCUCUUUCAAUUUAUAAUAGCGAUUCUAUUUAGGCAAUUUGAACCCUUUUCCCCAAGGUGUUGGGUAUUUCCCAGGCCUGGGUGGGGUAGGGUUGCUUUGCCUAAAAGCAGCUGGUGUGGAUUAAGGUCUCAAUGCUGGAGAAUAAGAGACUGUGUUAUAAAGUUGAAGACGUGCACACAUGUUUAUGUACCCGUGAGUACAUGACACCAGCAGAAAUACCCAUGGUAUUUCUACUUGUAAUAUCAAAAUAAAAAUAUUGUACCAAAAAGCAGAAACCUAAUUGUCUACUAAUAGGGAAUUGAUAAUAAAUUAUAAUAUAUCUAUACAAUGGAAACCAGCACAGUAUAUUUAAAAUAUAUGUACCCACUUCUGGGCAUAGACUCCAAAGACUCUGAAUCAGCCUAGCACAUAAAUACCCACGCACCCAUGUUCACUGCAGUGCUGCCAGAUUAUGGAACCAGCUUCAGUGUCUGCCAAUAGAUAAACCGAUAAAUGGAUAUAUGUACAAUGGAGAUUUAUUCAGCUACUAAGAGGAGUGUAUCUAUAUAACUUGCUGGGAAAUGGAUACAGCUGGAGUUCAUUGUAUGAAAUGAACUAGGUCAGAUGC